rnacentral:rRNA from 1 species
UACGGAGGGUGCGAGCGUUGUCCGGAAUCACUGGGCGUAAAGGGCGCGUAGGUGGCUCACGCAAGCGUGCGGUGAAAGCCCGGGGCUCAACCCCGGGUCGGCCGUGCGGACUGCGGGGCUCGAGCACUGUAGGGGCAGAUGGAAUUCCGGGUGUAGCGGUGGAAUGCGUAGAGAUCCGGAAGAAUACCGGUGGCGAAAGCGACUCUCUGGACGGCAACUGACGCUGAGGCACGAAAGCGUGGGGAGCAAACAGG